rnacentral:rRNA from 1 species
GUGAGGAAUUUUCCGCAAUGGGCGAAAGCCUGACGGAGCAAUGCCGCGUGAAGGAUGAAGGCCUAUGGGUUGUAAACUUCUUUUCUCAGAAAAGAAUUAUGACGGUAUCUGAGGAAUAAGCAUCGGCUAACUCUGUGCCAGCAGCCGCGGUAAGACAGAGGAUGCAAGCGUUAUCCGGAAUGAUUGGGCGUAAAGCGUCUGUAGGUCGUUUAAAAAGUAUUCUGUCAAAGAUUAGGGCUUAACCCUAGAUAGGCAGAAUAAACUUUUAAGCUAGAGUUUGGUAGAGGCAGAGGGAAUUCCCGGUGGAGCGGUGAAAUGCGUAGAUAUCGGGAGGAACACCAAAGGCGAAGGCACUCUGCUGGGCCAAUACUAACACUGAGAGACGAAAGCGAGGGGAGCAAAUGGGAUUAGAAACCCGGGUAGUCC